GACGAACGCUGGCGGCGUGCUUAACACAUGCAAGUCGAACGGUAAGGCCCUUCGGGGUACACGAGUGGCGAACGGGUGAGUAACACGUGGGUGAUCUGCCCUGCACUUCGGGAUAAGCCUGGGAAACUGGGUCUAAUACCGGAUAGGACCACUGCCUGCAUGGGUGGUGGCGGAAAGCUUUUGCGGUGUGGGAUGGACCCGCGGCCUAUCAGCUUGUUGGUGGGGUGAUGGCCUACCAAGGCGACGACGGGUAGCCGGCCUGAGAGGGUGACCGGCCACACUGGGACUGAGAUACGGCCCAGACUCCUACGGGAGGCAGCAGUGGGGAAUAUUGCACAAUGGGCGCAAGCCUGAUGCAGCGACGCCGCGUGAGGGAUGACGGCCUUCGGGUUGUAAACCUCUUUCAGCACCGACGAAGCGCAAGUGACGGUAGGUGCAGAAGAAGGACCGGCCAACUACGUGCCAGCCGCCGCUGUAA
rnacentral:rRNA from 1 species